ACUUAUUUUUAUUACUUUUGCACACAAUAAGUCCGACGGAUUAGGGAAACGGGUGUGAAUCCCGUGCAGUCCCGCUGCUGUAUGCCCUUUGUUCCGACGCUCCAAUGUGGCCACUGCUUUGUGUCGACACGACCAAAGUGGGAAGGCGGAGCUGCCGGGGGAUAAGCCAGAAUACCUGCCGCCGGCCCUGGCAAACA
rfam:Prevotella sp. CAG:5226 genomic scaffold, scf1170